UCUCCGUAGGUGAACCUGCGGAGGGAUCAUUACUGAGUGAGGGCUCACGCCCGACCUCCAACCCCAUGUGAACCGCAACUGUUGCUUCGGGGGCGACCCUGCCGUUUCGACGGCGAGCGCCCCCGGGGUCAAUCAAACACUGCAUUCUCUGCGUCGGAGUAUUAGUAAAUCUAAUCAAAACUUUCAACAACGGAUCUCUUGGUUCUGGCAUCGAUGAAGAACGCAGC
rnacentral:misc_RNA from 1 species